rnacentral:rRNA from 1 species
AGUGAACGCUGGCGGUAGGCCUAACACAUGCAAGUCGAACGGCAGCACAGUAAGAGCUUGCUCUUACGGGUGGCGAGUGGCGGACGGGUGAGGAAUACAUCGGAAUCUACUUUUUCGUGGGGGAUAACGUAGGGAAACUUACGCUAAUACCGCAUACGACCUACGGGUGAAAGCAGGGGAUCUUCGGACCUUGCGCGAUUGAAUGAGCCGAUGUCGGAUUAGCUAGUUGGCGGGGUAAAGGCCCACCAAGGCGACGAUCCGUAGCUGGUCUGAGAGGAUGAUCGGCCACACUGGAACUGGGACACGGUCCAGACCCCUACGGGAGGCAGCAGUGGGGAAUAUUGGACAAGGGGCGCAAGCCUGAUCCAGCCAGACCGCGUGGGUGAAGAAGGCCUCCGGGUUGUAAAGCCCUUUUGUUGGGAAAGAAAAGCAGCAGGUUAAUACCCCGCUGUUCUGACGGUACCCAAAGAAUAAGCACCGGCAAACUUCGU